rnacentral:miRNA from 1 species
UAAGUGCUUGCUGUUGUUGUGA